GGAGCACGCCAGACCGCCGCUGGCGCCCCUCGGGGUGCUGGAGGAACGUCCGGACUGCACAGGGCAGCGCAGGAGCUAACGGCUCCCCAUCGUGAGGUGAGGAUUAGAGCAACAGAGACGAGCCGGCGUGAGGGUCGGGUGAAACGGGCAAUCUCUGCGCGCAGCAACACCAAGUAGGCACACAGUGAGGCGGCCCGCUGAGUGUGCGGGUAGGUGGCACCGAGCCGGCGGGCGACCGUGCGGCCAAGAUGGAUGGCGGUCACGCGCGGCGCUUCUUGCGAGGCGCGGCGCGCACAGAAUCCGGCGUAUCGGCGCGCUCCACAC
rnacentral:RNase_P_RNA from 1 species